rnacentral:lncRNA from 1 species
CUUUAAGACAAAAAAAUCAAAUUUUUAAUAUAUAUAUUUAUAAUUUUUUAUAAGGAAUUUUUCUAAAAAGCAGCGCAAGAUGUCGGAGAAAUGCGUCAAAAUAGAAAACUGUUUGGCACAUUCUUUCGCUAUCUGCACAGAUGUUAUGCUAUCUAUUGCUUAUUUAUUAUUAUUUUUUUGCACUUUCUAUCUCUAUAUUUUAUUUCUUUCCUUUUCUGCUUUAUUUAUUUAGCUUCUAUUUCCAGACUCUUUCUGGCACUACGAACAGCGGUUCCCUGUAAACGGGUUGUCCCACUGUCUAUCUUCGCAAUCGACUGGUAAGUGACUAUUCUCAAAUAUAUUUAGCUACCAAAAUAUCUUAUAAAUGUUUUCUUAUCAUCGAAUUAUUGCACGUUUUUUUUUCUUCGCCUUCUAUCUCUUAAACGAGGUAAAGAUGCUCGACGUUUUAUAUAUAUCUAGAACAGAGUGAAUAAAUCGAUCUUUCUCACCUAGGUUGAUCUAAAGUGCAACAACCGGUAAAAAAUUUUAAUUUUAGACUAUUAAAAAGCCCUUUUACGUAUCUUAAAGAUCUCGAAGAUAUAAAUAUGUAUAGUAAUAUUUACAAUAAUAACGAGGAGAAAUCGACUUCCAACUAUUAAGAGAGAUUUCGAACUCUAUAAGCAUUCCUGUACAUUAUUAAGCUCUUCCAUUAAAUAGCUUUAAACGAUUCCGAUUGGAUCAUAACCUGUAAACGUUAUAAUCAAUUUUAACGAUUUAAUGACGUGAAAAGACUCACGAAUGUACGCGAGAUUCACGGAUUACACGCGAAACUUUCAUGAAUCAGGAAAACCUAUCGAUCUAUUAGAAGGACGGAUUAAAAAAAGGAAAGAAAGAAAGAAAAUAGAGUAAAAUAUAUAGAUUGGACAUUUAGAAGAACUCGGUAGAGGACACAAAGACUUUGAAAAACGCAUCUAGAAGUUGAAUUGAAAGGAAACAAAAGCUGCUGAUCGCUAGAUAAACCGAACAAGAUAGAAGAGGAUAGUUCCGCCGGCAUGUCACGCUCGACAGAGCUGGACAGCUGAGGGAACGUCCAUUAGAGGUAAUGAGUGCGAUGUCGUCGUCGAUAGCACUAAUCAGACACGUUGCGAACGUUUUCCUAUUGAACAGUCCACCUGCUUUGCUACGUAACGAUGACGGUGGACCGUCAUGAAAACUUCCGAUUUUACUUCCGAACGGUAGGCCUCAACCGCGAUUCCAUUCCAAUCUCAUCUAUCCAACGAAAAUAAAACAAGGAACCGGCAUUAAAGACAUUCAAAAUUUAAAACAUUUCUUCACAUAAGGGAAAAAAUAAUACAGAAAUUCCGCAACACAUUACUCAUUUUUCCGAAUGCGUCACAGUUCGAUUAAAAAUCGUUUUCAGGAAUUAACUCGAGAUUAAUUCCAUUUAGUGCAUCGAUAAAUUAUAAUGAAUAUAUAUAUAUAUAUCACAUCGCAGAAUUAACAAUCGAGAACAUGGG